CCUUGACAUACUAAGAACUUUCCAGAGAUGGAUUGGUGCCUUCGGGAACUUAGAUACAGGUGCUGCAUGGCUGUCGUCAGCUCGUGUCGUGAGAUGUUGGGUUAAGUCCCGNAACGAGCGCAACCCUUUUCCUUAUUUGCCAGCGGGUCAUGCCGGGAACUUUAAGGAUACUGCCAGUGACAAACUGGAGGAAGGCGGGGACGACGUCAAGCCAUCAUGGCCCUUACGGCCAGGGCUACACACGUGCUACAAUGGUCGGUACAAAGGGUUGCUACCUCGCGAGAGGAUGCUAAUCUCAAAAAGCCGAUCGUAGUCCGGAUCGCAGUCUGCAACUCGACUGCGUGAAGUCGGAAUCGCUAGUAAUCGCGGAUCAGAAUGCCGCGGUGAAUACGUUCCCGGGCCUUGUACACACCGCCCGUCACACCAUGGGAGUUUGUUGCACCAGAAGUAGGUAGUCUAACCGCAAGGAGGACGCUUACCACGGUGUGGCCGAUGACUGGGGUGAAGUCGUAACAAGGUAAGCGUAGAUGA
rnacentral:rRNA from 1 species